rnacentral:tRNA from 1 species
AGUGGAAUGCUUGAAAAAAGAUUAUUUUGAUGUAGUAAAUAAUGUAAUUAAAUUACUUCCACUA